GGUAAGGCUGUGCUGUGGGUGGCGGGAAUAUAGAGGUUGCAAGCGUGUGUUGGAUUCACUGGGCGUAAAGGGUGCGGAAGGGGCGGGGUAAGUCGGAUGUGAAAUCUCGGAGCUCAACUCCGAAAUGGCAUUGGAAACUACCUUGCUCGAGGAUUGGAGGGGGGACUGGAAUUCUCGGUGUAGCAGUGAAAUGCGUAGAUAUCGAGAGGAACACCAGUGGCGAAGGCGAGUCCCUGGACAAUACCUGACACUGAGGCACGAAAGCUAGGGGAGCAAACAGGAUUAGAUACCCCUGUAGUC
rnacentral:rRNA from 1 species